AGAUAGCAAAAUCUUGUAAACUAUCCCUCUUCUUUUAACGAACGCCAUCUGGUUCAAUAAAACUUAUGACUUUCGGUUGCAUAGCCUAUUCGCAAGAAUUUCUUCAUUUUUCUUGUACACAUAAUUGCAUAGCGAGGCCGAUAAAGAUCGAAGGAAUCGCUAACUUCCCGCUUCGGAAUAAGUGUGAUAAACGUAGAAUUUCUCGAUUUGAGGAUCUGACCUGCUUUUAAGAGACUUCAAUAGCUUUAUUAAUGUGUGAGGCCACAUCCUUUGGCAGAAGGCAGCCGGGAAGUCGUCGGGACCUGGGGCUUUAUUAUUCAGAUUCUCAUUCUUCAAACGUGAUCUCCCGUCUAAGCCACGGAUUGUCCUCCGCGUCCAUUUUUCGAUUUUUUGGGUGCAUUGGCCAUCAUCUCGAUUCAGAAUUUUAUUUAAGUAGGCAGCAGCGCUAAUACGUAAUCUCCCAUCACCCCACCCCCUAUCACAUGAUACUCCGCCACAUCAUAAACACAUAUUUAGUGGAAUUUUCAGUUCUUAGUGGUUAGUAUCACCCUGGGAAGCAUCUUAGGUUGUGUGUUUUU
rnacentral:lncRNA from 1 species